rnacentral:lncRNA from 1 species
UUCAUACUUCACUAGCAAGGGAUAUGAAUGGAGAAAGAUAACUCCAUAAAAUAAGCAAAUUACCAGAUACAAAGGCACAGUUCUCAUCUUCCAUGCGAUGGAGCCACAUCCCCUGGCCUGAAAGAACAACAGCAACCACAAAACUCAGAUGAGGAGUUCUAGAAAUUAAAUGUCAACCUCAUUUAACUCUCAUAUCAUAAAGUGGAUUUAUCUCCACUUCAAAAUCAGAAAAUAGGAUUAGAGAGUUAAUUAAUGUGCCCAUGUUCUCACAGGCUUUAACUGUUGGAGUCACAGAUUGUGAUUAGUAAGGAGCUCUGCGACAUGUUUCACGGGAUCACAACUUGAAGAUUACACCUCAAGUUGCAGAACAAAUGCCUAAUUAUCCAUCAGACCAGCCACAGAGAUAAUUUUAUUUAUUUCUGUGAUGAACAGCUAAUUCUUACUUCAAUAUUUACUGAAGACCUACUUUGUGCUUGGCAAUUUUUUAUUACUGGAGGUACAGUUGUAAAUGAGAAGAUAAGCAUUCUUAUGGAACUCACUCUAAAUAAAAUGAAUAUAUAGGAUGCAUAGUUUAUCAGACAGUUACAAGUACUGUAGAGAAAAAAUAGAGUGAGAAAGGGAGGUGAAAAAAUAACUAAAGAAAUAAACAAAUAUAUUUUUAUCAAGCCAUUUUAUGUGUGGAGGAGAAAAAUAGAGCAAAGAAGAGGCCUAGGUGGGGCUGGAGUGUUGAGGGAAGCCUCCUCUCUGGAGAGAGUGUUUAGACCAAGACUUACAGAAGAUAAAGAAGGAGAAGGCGAAUAUCUGUGGGAUGAGCCUUGAAGGCUGAGGAAAAACCAAGUGCAAAGCCCCCAAGGUGGGGAAUGUCCAGCCUGUCCAAGGAAACACGAGAACUUGUCCCUCUGAGCAAAGUGAACUAUGGAGGCUGCAGUGGAGAGUGUAUCAGAAAGGACAGCGCAUAUCCUACUGCUCUUUGUAGGCCCUGAUGGAGUGUUACCCAGGCUGGAGUGCCAUGGUGUGAUCUUGGCUCCCUGCAACCUCUGCCUCCUGAGUUCAAGUGAUUCUAGCGCCUCAGCCUCCCAAGUAGCUAGGAUUACAGGCACCCGCCACCAGACCCAGCUAAUUUUUGUAGUUUUUAGUAGAGCCAAUGGGGUUUCACCACGUUGGCCAGGCUGGUCUCAAACUCCUGACCUCAAAUGAUCUGCCCCCUUAGGCCUACCAAAGUGCUAGAAUUACAGCCAUGAAGCUCUGCACCCAGCCAAUACUAGCAUUUUGAUAAGAAAACUUAUAAUUUAUUUAGGAAUUCAAAGCAUAUAUAAGAACAGAAUAAUCUUGAAGGUCGAAAGAACAACUUUGAAGAACUUUAUCUUAUUUUCAAUUCAAUAUAAUGCCAUAGUAACGAAGACACAGUUACUAUUGGUAGUAUUGGUGCAAUAUUACAUAAAUGGAUCACUGGAAUUGAAUAAAGAGUCCAGAAAUAAAGCUUCAUAUUUAUAUCUAAUUGGUUUUCGACAAAGUUGUCAACUCAAUAAAGAAAGAAAAUUAUUUUUACCAUAUUUUACGGAAG